rnacentral:rRNA from 1 species
UACAGAGGGUGCAAGCGUUAAUCGGAAUUACUGGGCGUAAAGCGCGCGUAGGUGGUUCGUUAAGUUGGAUGUGAAAUCCCCGGGCUCAACCUGGGAACUGCAUUCAAAACUGUCGAGCUAGAGUAUGGUAGAGGGUGGUGGAAUUUCCUGUGUAGCGGUGAAAUGCGUAGAUAUAGGAAGGAACACCAGUGGCGAAGGCGACCACCUGGACUGACACUGACACUGAGGUGCGAAAGCGUGGGGAGCAAACAGG